CUGACCUGUUUUAAUACAAUGGCCGGCCACGGUUUCGUGUGCUUCGUGCUUUGUGUUCGGGUCAUCCUUCCAAUCGCUCUGUUGGUUUCUCUUCAUUGAGAGACGAACAUGGGCAUUGGAUCUUUUACUUUGAAAAAAUUAGAGUGUUUCAAGCAGGCUUUUGCUAUGAAUACAUUAGCAUGGAAUAAUAAUUUAGGACUUCGGUUCUAUUUUGUUGGUUUCUAGGACUGAAGUAAUGAUUGAUAGGGAUAGUUGGGGGUGCUAGUAUUCAGCGGCCAGAGGUGAAAUUCUCGGAUUCGCUGAAGACUAACUUAUGCGAAAGCAUU
rnacentral:rRNA from 1 species